rnacentral:lncRNA from 1 species
GUGAUGUGUGUGUAUGUGAUGGGUAUGUGGUGUAUGUGAUGCAUGUGUGUGGUGUGUGUCAUAUGUAACAUGUGUGGCAUAUGUGAUGCAUGUAUAUGUCAUGUGUGUGGUAUGUGUUGGGGGUUUGUGGUGUGUGACAUAUGUAAGGUAUGGAUGUGAUGUGUGUGUAUGUGAUGGGUGUGUAGUACAUGUGUGUGGUGAGGGGGUGGCUACUCACACUCAGAAGCUCUCCACUGUCCCCUUCCUAAGGAAGGCUAUAUACCAGUUGCCCAGGGCAACUCCCUGGGUAUCCUGCCAGCCCACACCCUCCCUCAGCUGGGGAGCAUAAGGCAGGAAGGGAAGGGGAGGUGGGAAGAACCUGGGGGACAAAGGACCUUUGUUGCCCUUCCUCACUCAGGCACAGUCUGGGGAAGACUUUGGCCGCAGCUCACACUAGAAGGCUGUUUACCAGACCUGCUGGAGCCUCUGAAGGGCAGCAGCCAGCUCACACCACAUGCCCUGGAUGGCCAGAAGGCACAGGAGACCACAGAGCAUACGAGUGGGGCAAGAGGAAACCAUCUAUCAACAAACAGGGACCAGAGCAAAUGAAGUUCCAACGUCUUGCUCACGCUCCUGCAUGGCCAGGAGGGACAUGGAUGAAUCUGGAGAACGUCAUCCUCAGCAAACUGACACAAGAACAGAAAAUGAAACACCGCAUAUUCUCACUCAUAGGCGGGUGAUGAAAAAUGAGAACACAUGGACACAGAAAGGGGAGUACUAAACACUGGGGUCUAUUGGGGGGAAAAGGGGAGGGCCAGUGGGAGGGGGAGGUGGGGAGGGAUAGCCUGGGGAGAAAUGCCAAAUGUGGGUGAAGGGGAGAAGGAAAGAAAAGCACACUGCCAUGUGUGUUCCUACGCAACUGUCUUGCAUGCUCUGCUCAUGUACCCCAAAACCUAAAAUCCAAUAAAAAAUUUAAAAAAAAAAAAUAAAGAGAAGAGAGUAGGUGUUACGGUGAGUCCAACAUGGCUGCCAAUUCACACCAGCUUG